AUUGAACGCUGGCGGCAGGCCUAACACAUGCAAGUCGAACGGUAGCACAGAGAGCUUGCUCUCGGGUGACGAGUGGCGGACGGGUGAGUAACGUCUGGGAAACUGCCCGAUGGAGGGGGAUAACUACUGGAAACGGUAGCUAAUACCGCCUAACGUCGCAAGACCAACGUGGGGGAGCUGCGGGACUCACCCCAUCGGAUGUCCCCAGAUGGGAUUCGCUAGUAGGUGGGGUAAUGGCUCACCUAGGCGACGAUCCCGAGCUGGUCUGAGAGGAUGACCAGCCACACUGGAACUGAGACACGGUCCAGACUCCUACGGGAGGCAGCAGUGGGGAAUAUUGCACAAUGGGCGCAAGCCUGAUGCAGCCAUGCCGCGUGUAUGAAGAAGGCCUUCGGGUUGUAAAGUACUUUCAGCGGGGAGGAAGGCGGUGAAGUUAAUAGCUUCACCGAUUGACGUUACCCGCAGAAGAAGCACCGGCUAACUCCGUGCCAGCCGCCGCCGUAA
rnacentral:rRNA from 1 species